UCAUCUCUGUUGAUGGGAAGAAUUACGACAAAUAUAAUUCCAUUGUGAAAGAGAAGUGGUGCUAUCUCCCUGACUGUGGCUUGCUGAGCUUGGUGGGGAAGUGGAUAUUGGAGAAACCUGAUGUUUUGCACGCACUGAUCCAGCCCUGUCUGAUGCAUCCAUUUCUGCUGGACCCUCUGUACAGUGUGCUGCUACCCUACCACCACCAUACCCAACCCUCUCCAGGGCAGGGCAAAUAUUUCUGAGAGUGGUACUUAGGAAGGGCAGUAUUUGGAAGGGC
rnacentral:lncRNA from 1 species